CGAUAGAAAAUCUCGUUGAGUAACAGUGGCUGCAAAAGGUAUUCGCACACCGUUCUAUCUGCCACAGCAAGAACAUAUCAAGUUUCGUAUCAUUCAGUAGUACGUACGUUUGUACGACUAGGAAAAUUUACAACUGUAGAACUGUAGAAACCUACAGACCUUGAUAAAAUGGCACUGAAUUGGAAAUUAAGGGUAUGUGGAAACUUGCCUUCUAGCAACUGGUAUGUCGGGUAUGUCGGGAUUUGAACGAAAGUAUUCGAACGUUCAGCCAAUUUAUCUUACGAAUGCAUUAUGCGUGUUGUACGAAACUGUAUAUGGUAAGAGGAAUUGCAAAAAAUAGUAAAUCGUAGGCCGAUAAAGUUUCGCUCUUACGUUAAACUUGAUAUUAUUAUUUCAUAAAUUCAGAAUAAUUCGCAUGACAAAUUAAUCACGAUGAAAUUGUCUUUCGUUACGUUAUGAUAUCUUCGAAGACUUUAAUUCUGUCGUUUUACGAAUGAAGCGCUUUACGACCAGGCAAAAUGCAGUCACAAUGGUAUUUGAAUAUUAUCAGCAUAUUAUCUACGAAACAUAUCAUAUACGAAACCCUUUAAAAUUGUAUCAGUAGCGUAAUGGGACACGAUUAUCACGGUUGUACGGGUGAAAUGUAAAACCAACUGGAACACGUACGUAGAAAAUACAAAACAACUUGUUAAUACAUAUCUGAUAGAAAAGAAAAUAGUACAGAUAGCGUAAGUAGUCGCCCCAAACGCGCAAUAGGCUUGACAAUACGAUCAACUCUAGCAAAUACCACAAAGUACAUGCUUUUAUGCGCAAAGUAUACGAAUUUCAUGAUGUUUCGUGCAAAAUACACGGUAUAUUCGUGAGAAAUUGAAGCAAGAUGAAACAAGAUGAAGCGACAUGAAUCGAGAUGAAGUAAGAUGAAACAAGAUGAAACAAGAUGGAACGAGAUGAAACAAGAUGAAACAAGAUGGAGCGAGAUGAAACAAGACGGAAAGAGAUAAAAUAAAACAGAGGUCGUGAAAUUAUACACAUACCUCUCCUAAAAUAAGAAACGACAAGUUAGUUAGCUGAAAUUUCAUGAAGUAUCCGAGUAUUAAUACGAUUUACUAUAUAUUAAAAGGUCGGUGCAGAUGUUCGUUUAUAAAACGAUCAGUCGUUUCACGUUUCUCGUUUUAUGGCGAUACACUGCGGGAUUUUGCAUGAUUUAUCUGGCAAUUCUUGGAGUGCAGACUCGUCAAUUAUGUAAGGGAUGGGAAGAGAACAGAGAGACGAGGCAAAGAUGAAACGAACGGAGAUAGAAAUGCCGUAGCUGCUAACGGAACCUUGAACGAGAACUUACAACGAAGGAACUGUUGGUAUAAUGAGCGUAUCCGCGUUGACCUUGAUAUAUCGGUCUGUGGAAGGAUUUCGACGAAUCGUGAUGACGCGUCGAUCGAUGGAUCGUUAGAUCAAAAAUGCAAAACAAUGUAAAUUACGUGGUUCGAUAAAUCUGUUUUCUGUGCGUUUAAGUACGUACAACAGUGGCAUAUAUAUUUUGUUUAACAAGCGACGAAUCGAACAGUAAAUUAUUUUGGAUCUCGAUGUCAACGAAGGAUCUGAACGAGAUAUAUUUCUACGCUUUUCAAGGAGCGUGCAAUGUAUGAUUAUUCAUCUGGCAGGGAAGUUACAAAAUAUUGUUAUUAGCAAACGUUACUUUUACGUUACAUUACAAUUAUUAUUAGCAAAAUAAUCAUUGCAGAUAGUAACAGAUAAGUUCUUCGUAGAUUGGCAUCAAGCACGUUUGAAAAGUUAUGUUUUCAUCGUCGCGACACAGCAAGGAACAACAUCGUUAUAUUCGCCGUAGGAAGUGACGCUUCGGAAGCUACAGAAAUAUUGGAACGGUGAAUUAUCUACUGUACCGUGUAUCGAUAAGUAGAGUUCGCACGUUUGUUCAUUUAUGGAAAAUAUAAAACUGUAAAAACGUACGGAAUGCAUAUAACACGUAAGAAUAUAUAAAAUACCCAAAGUAAAGCAGCGAUCGUGGUAAUGUUUAAAUGGAAAGUAAAAUAUUAGAAAAAGGCUGUAUAUAAAUUUCACCUUUUUUAGCUACGUUCAUGGAAAUAUCAAAUCGCAUAAAAAUCUGCAGUCUAUCGAUUAGACCUGAUUUACACGUAUAGUGGAACCAACCGUUUGCUUAAAAAAAUAAAAAUUUGAUAUUUUCGCCAGAUACAUAUUGCCAUUUUUAUUCGAAUAAACAAACGAAUAUAACGAUCAAGUGUAAUUGCUAGUUUUGUCAUUUUCUUUGUACUGUAUAUACGACGCGUUUGUCGUACAGUACCGACUAUCCAACUGUCGUUCAGUACCAAACAAUCGGAUCAGCGCAAACGAAAUAUGUUUUUUCAUCUAAAGACAUCCGAAAUUUCAAAGCAGGAAAAAGGAAAAUGGUGACAGAGAUGCGGCCUUGAAGCUGCUUCUCGAAAAUAAAAUGGGCCAGAGACGAGCCGCUGACUCUACCGAUGUUACAAAAACGCGAAGGCCGAGCACACGUCCAAUGCACAGACCAAGAAGAUAUUAUUUAUUUUACUCUUGAUGUACGUGAAAGUUUAAUUUGAACAGAGAUGCGUCUUCUGACAUCCGAGUGAUUUUUUUUUAACUUUAUUAAUCAUUUAGACCGAAAAAUCUACCAAUGAAAUAAUUGGUCGGUCCUGAACGACAAUUUUUCCUACAAAUCGCAACAUUUCUAUCCUUGAAAAUGAUCAAUUGUUAUCGUUGAAUUUCAGGAAAUUAACUUCGCUCUCUGUAUCGAGUUCCAUUCGUCCAGAAACUCGUUCUUCGAAUUUUGAUUUCUGCCGACUCCGCUCCAAGAUACGAGGGAAAAGCUUACAGCCAUCGAUACCUCGCAACUCUGCCCUGUGUUAAAUUUCGUAUCAUUCGAUAAUACCUUCGUAUGGCUGUGAAAAUUUCGUACAAUGAAAACGGAGAAAAAGAAGGAAGGAAAGAAAUUGAAAAAAUCACGCAA